rnacentral:rRNA from 1 species
UACGUAGGGUGCGAGCGUUGUCCGGAAUUAUUGGGCGUAAAGAGCUCGUAGGCGGUCUGUCGCGUCGAUCGUGAAAACUUGGGGCUUAACCCUGAGCUUGCGGUCGAUACGGGCAUGACUGGAGUUCGGCAGGGGAGACUGGAAUUCCUGGUGUAGAGGUGAAAUUCGUAGAUAUCGGGAGGAAUACCAGUGGCGAAGGCGGCGACCUGGGCCAAUACUGACGCUGAGGUGCGAAAGCGUGGGGAGCAAACAGG